AAGUGAGCUGAGAAAAAGAAAACAGAUUUAAUUGCUGCUUGGAGAGAAAAGUGAACUGAUGAUCUAAUAGCUUGUUUCCACCCCUAAUAUCCACACUCCAAUUCAUGGCAUAUGAACCAAAAAAACCUCACUUUUGCUUAUGGCCAAAUCAUCUGCAUCAGUCCGGAAAGAUUUGAUGUCAGUUGUCUUGAAGACAGAGACAAACUUGCAUGUGGGCCAGCCACGGCAUUUUCAAUCAAAGGAAGGGACCUCAUUCAUUAAACAGAAACAAAAAUAAAACCCCAAACCAUCUGAAUUCUUACAGUCAAAGAAGCAAGAGUGGUUCCCUCCAAGUGGUCUCACCUUGUACCUGGUGAUGGCACAUGAAAAUUCUGUGUCCAGGGAUCCAGAAGAUUCAGAAGACUCCACAGACAAGUGUGAUGGUUGCAAAAGUAGUAAAGAAUAUAUGAAAGGAAUCGAUGGAGAUGUAAUCAAAGAUUUUCAUAGCUGACAGAUAAAUGGUGCAAUUAAAAAUUUGAAAAGACAAAAGCUGUGGGCUGGCUGAAUGGCUUUGAAGAAGAUGGACCUACCCUGAUGUGUCUGGGGAAGAGCAGAGAAAACAGGAUUCAUAGUGGGUCAACAUUUCUUCGUCCUUACUGCUUCAAGGGAUUAAAGUUUGAAAGAUUCAUUUCACAAAUUAAACCUUGCAAAUAAUGAAAAUUUUAACUAGCAGUUACAUAGAAUCUUCUAAAUUCCAAAUGCUUUACAGUAACACUUCCCCAUGGCAUUCUGGAGAGGCAGGAAAGGAAUGAGUUAAGAAAUAGAGAGAUUAAGUUCAAAAAAGCUUUGUAAGAGCUCCUGUAUUCAUUUUCAUUUUAAAAUCUUUUUAAAAAUCUCUUUUUUACAUAGAGCUAGCACUUUGCAGGAAUGUGAAGUCAAGCAGUAUUUCCAGAAAAAUCUUUUGAGACUCUUGUGUAUAAAUACUAAAUACUACUGAAAAGAUAUAUACACAUAACCAUGGCUUCUUUGUGGCCUGAAAGAAGUAUGUGUGUGUGUGUGUGUAUGUGUGUGUGUGUAUGUGUCCCUUAUUGGCAUAUUAGCUUAAUUGUGAAAAUGUGAAAAGAAUCCUUUUUG